AUCACCUGGGUGCCUGUGAAAAAGAUCCCUGAGCAAUGCCCCAGGUCUGCAUUUCUAUAAGAACAGGAAGGGAAAUCUGCCAGACCUCUGACCGCAGCAGCACCACGGCAGGAAGCACGGCUAGCAUCACACAUGAAGCUCUUCCCAUUACCUGCCUGCUCCCCACGUGGCUUUAAACACCAAGCACUGCACAUCUACACAUGAGGAACCGAUCAGGACCUGAAUAUCUGUAUUUUGUUACCACCUCAAACUAGCAUGUUCUCAGAGACAGGAAGAUCAUAAUGAGAUAAGAACUGACAAGGCAGUUUACAAACAUA